rnacentral:rRNA from 1 species
AGAGUUUGAUCCUGGCUCAGGACGAACGCUGGCGGCACGCUUAACACAUGCAAGUCGAACGAGAGAAGAGGAGCUUGCUUUUCUGAUCUAGUGGCGGACGGGUGAGUAACACGUGAGCAAUCUGCCUUUCAGAGGGGGAUACCGAUUGGAAACGAUCGUUAAUACCGCAUAACAUAAUUGAACCGCAUGAUUUGAUUAUCAAAGAUUUAUCGCUGAAAGAUGAGCUCGCGUCUGAUUAGCUAGUUGGUAAGGUAACGGCUUACCAAGGCGACGAUCAGUAGCCGGACUGAGAGGUUGAUCGGCCACAUUGGGACUGAGACACGGCCCAGACUCCUACGGGAGGCAGCAGUGGGGAAUAUUGCACAAUGGAGGAAACUCUGAUGCAGCGAUGCCGCGUGAGGGAAGAAGGUUUUAGGAUUGUAAACCUCUGUCUUCAGGGACGAAAAAAGACGGUACCUGAGGAGGAAGCUCCGGCUAACUACGUGCCAGCAGCCGCGGUAAUACGUAGGGAGCGAGCGUUGUCCGGAAUUACUGGGUGUAAAGGGAGCGUAGGCGGGAUCGCAAGUCAGAUGUGAAAACUAUGGGCUUAACCCAUAAACUGCAUUUGAAACUGUGGUUCUUGAGUGAAGUAGAGGUAAGUGGAAUUCCUAGUGUAGCGGUGAAAUGCGUAGAUAUUAGGAGGAACAUCAGUGGCGAAGGCGGCUUACUGGGCUUUAACUGACGCUGAGGCUCGAAAGCGUGGGGAGCAAACAGGAUUAGAUACCCUGGUAGUCCACGCCGUAAACGAUGAUUACUAGGUGUGGGGGGACUGACCCCUUCCGUGCCGCAGCAAACGCAAUAAGUAAUCCACCUGGGGAGUACGACUGCAAGGUUGAAACUCAAAGGAAUUGACGGGGGCCCGCACAAGCAGUGGAGUAUGUGGAUUAAUUCGAAGCAACGCGAAGAACCUUACCAGGUCUUGACAUCGUAUGCAUAGCUCAGAGAUGAGUGAAAUCUCUUCGGAGACAUAUAGACAGGUGGUGCAUGGUUGUCGUCAGCUCGUGUCGUGAGAUGUUGGGUUAAGUCCCGCAACGAGCGCAACCCUUACUGUUAGUUGCUACGCAAGAGCACUCUAGCAGGACUGCCGUUGACAAAACGGAGGAAGGUGGGGAUGACGUCAAAUCAUCAUGCCCCUUAUGACCUGGGCCUCACACGUACUACAAUGGCUGUCAACAGAGGGAAGCAAAGCCGCGAGGUGGAGCGAACCCCUAAAAGCAGUCUUAGUUCGGAUUGUAGGCUGCAACCCGCCUACAUGAAGUCGGAAUUGCUAGUAAUCGCAGAUCAGCAUGCUGCGGUGAAUACGUUCCCGGGCCUUGUACACACCGCCCGUCACGCCAUGGGAGUCGGUAACACCCGAAGCCUGUAGUCUAACCGCAAGGAGGACGCAGUCGAAGGUGGGAUUGAUGACUGGGGUGAAGUCGUAACAAGGUA